rnacentral:rRNA from 1 species
GUGGGGAAUAUUGCGCAAUGGGGGGAACCCUGACGCAGCAACGCCGCGUGAAGGAAGAAGGCUUUCGGGUCGUAAACUUUUGUCUGGAGGGACGAUAGUGACGGUACCUCCGGAGGAAGCCACGGCUAACUACGUGCCAGCAGCCGCGGUAAUACGUAGGUGGCGAGCGUUGUCCGGAAUUACUGGGUGUAAAGGGCGCGUAGACGGGCAUGUAAGUCAGAUGUGAAAUACCGGGGCUCAACUCCGGGGCUGCAUUUGAAACUGCAAGUCUUGAGUGCAGGAGAGGGAAGCGGAAUUCCUAGUGUAGCGGUGAAAUGCGUAGAUAUUAGGAGGAACACCAGUGGCGAAGGCGGCUUUCUGGACUGUAACUGACGUUGAGGCGCGAAAGCGUGGGUAGCAAACAGGA